GUACCAGGAAGAGCACCCGGUUGAUGCAAGUCAGCUGACACAGUCGAUUCGGCAACCCACUUCACAGCAGGAAUUCCAGAAGCAAGUUCUGCGACUGCUGUAUACACUACGUCUGACACAGCGGCAGCAUGGUGACUUGCUGCAGGAACUUAGCAGCCACAGCCUCAGCUUGGAACAAGCUCCCGUUUCAACCUCAGCACUUAUUAUUAGUGCUCCAUUUUCAAGCUCAGCUGAGCUGGAGCUAUUUAACUCCACCAUGAACGAGAGAAAGAAGGAAAAGCUGGAUUUGGGGAUCCCAAGCUCUGAACACUACUCAUACCCACAGUACUGAUGUCAGCCAUAUGUAUCCACAUGCAGGUACAAGAACUAGCUGAACUGGGUGGCAGUGACGUGGGCGCUGCAACAAGGGCAGCGCUGCAGCAUAUCAUGACAGACACAUUA